CAGAGUUUUAUUUUGAGCAAAAGCUGGGAUUCUUGCAGAGGAGCUGACUUCAAAAAAAGCAGCAAACAAAAGCAAGCGUUCUGAAGUUUCCCUGCUUUCUGGAGAGAGAACGACGUGCCUUUUUGCAGGCAUUUCUCUGAAUCAGUUUUAUUGACACGGAUGUUUUCAGGCAUGGAACUCUGGUAGCAACGUCAGAACAUAUUUAUUCUAUGUCCUGAGAUGAGAUGAUGAAAGGGAGGAGGGAUACGUAACAACUACUGGGAAAAUGAUUCAAGAAACAAAACAGAAGUGGCCAGCACGACUGUUUCUAGUUGCUGUAGAGCAUCUCCUCCUUUCCUGCUUUCAGCCACAGCCUUCCUGUCCCACCCCUCCUGAGCUCACUAUGGAGGUCAGAUGUGGACCUUCUGGAAAUGCAGGAGGACCAAAAGCCACUGGGAGUAGGAAUUCCUAUCUAGAAGAAAAGACAUAGUGGAGAACUUCCAAGCUAUCUGCUGGCAGAUGCUGCUUCUGCUUCCUUAUGGAAAGACAGUAUCUUUGUUCCACCCAAUUAAAUAGAUAUGGAAAGCCCUUCUGAGCUGAGCCAAGUAUGAUGUCCUGGAAGUCUUGCUUCACUGCAAAUUGGAGCCUUCAUUUGCACUCAGGAGUCUUGAGUCUCAGUUGAGGAUGACUAUGGCCUGUCUUAUGUGUGUGUAAGUACUUAAAAUGGAAGGAGAUGACAAAUUAACAUUUUAAACUAAGUGGGAUGCGUGUGUGCAAGGAGUGGAAGAAAACUGCCUUCAGAUAAAAUCCAGAUAAUAUGUAGAUAGUGGAGGACAAUACUCAUUACAGCCAUUCCACUUCAAAUGGCUUUUCAUUCCUAGCAGGCCUUCUUUAAUUUGCUUAAUGCCUCAUCUUCCAUUCCAAUGAAUCACAAGAGUUAGCUCUGUCAGGAGGACGUCAGUGUUUCUUGGGUAGAACUGCACUAGAAGUUGGCACUUGUUCUACAUUUUUUUUAUAGCACCAGAAAAGAAAUGAUGGAUGUUAGGUUUCAAGUGAAGGUUUGAUAGGACAGAAGCACGCAGAGAAUAAAACUUCUGCAUAUAUAUAUGUGCUCACUACAGCCGUGCAAUUUGCUUUAAAGGUGGUAUGAACCUGUUCUUCCAAUUAUUCCUUGAGGACUUCCUGUGAU
ensembl:lncRNA